UACGUAGGGUGCAAGCGUUAAUCGGAAUUACUGGGCGUAAAGCGUGCGCAGGCGGUUAUGCAAGACAGAUGUGAAAUCCCCGGGCUUAACCUGGGAACUGCAUUUGUGACUGCAUAGCUGGAGUACGGUAGAGGGGGAUGGAAUUCCGCGUGUAGCAGUGAAAUGCGUAGAUAUGCGGAGGAACACCGAUGGCGAAGGCAGUCCCCUGGACCUGUACUGACGCUGAGACGCGAAAGCGUGGGGAGCGAACCGG
rnacentral:rRNA from 1 species